AUUGAACGCUGGCGGCAGGCCUAACACAUGCAAGUCGAACGGUAACAGGAAACAGCUUGCUGUUUCGCUGACGAGUGGCGGACGGGUGAGUAAUGUCUGGGAAGCUGCCUGAUGGAGGGGGAUAACUACUGGAAACGGUAGCUAAUACCGCAUAACGUCGCAAGACCAAAGAGGGGGACCUUCGGGCCUCUUGCCAUCAGAUGUGCCCAGAUGGGAUUAGCUAGUAGGUGGGGUAACGGCUCACCUAGGCGACGAUCCCUAGCUGGUCUGAGAGGAUGACCAGCCACACUGGAACUGAGACACGGUCCAGACUCCUACGGGAGGCAGCAGUGGGGAAUAUUGCACAAUGGGCGCAAGCCUGAUGCAGCCAUGCCGCGUGUAUGAAGAAGGCCUUCGGGUUGUAAAGUACUUUCAGCGGGGAGGAAGGGAGUAAAGUUAAUACCUUUGCUCAUUGACGUUACCCGCAGAAGAAGCACCGGCUAACUCCGUG
rnacentral:rRNA from 1 species